AUUGAACGCUGGCGGCAGGCCUAACACAUGCAAGUCGAGCGGAUGAAGGGAGCUUGCUCCUGGAUUCAGCGGCGGACGGGUGAGUAAUGCCUAGGAAUCUGCCUGGUAGUGGGGGAUAACGUCCGGGAACGGGCGCUAAUACCGCAUACGUCCUGAGGGAGAAAGUGGGGGAUCUUCGGACCUCACGCUAUCAGAUGAGCCUAGGUCGGAUUAGCUGGUUGGUGGGGUAAAGGCCUACCAAGGCGACGGUCCGUAACUGGUCUGAGAGGAUGAUCAGUCACACUGGAACUGAGACACGGUCCAGACUCCUACGGGGGGCAGCAGUGGGGAAUAUUGGACAAUGGGCGAAAGCCUGAUCCAGCCAUGCCGCGUGUGUGAAGAAGGUCUUCGGAUUGUAAAGCACUUUAAGUUGGGAGGAAGGGCAGUAAGUUAAUACCUUGCUGUUUUGACGUUACCAACAGAAUAAGCACCGGCUAACUUCGUG
rnacentral:rRNA from 1 species